UUAAUGGAGAUAUUUCAAUCUUGGCAUGAUC
rnacentral:piRNA from 2 species